UUCUAUUUGUUUUAAAUAAAUGGUAUAGUCUGCCCACUGAUUCAUAUUAAAGGGCCGCGGUAUUUUGACCGUGCAAAGGUAGCAUAAUCAUUAGCCUCUUAAUUAGAGGAUUGUAUGAAUGGCUUAACGGUAUCCUUCUUUAUUAGUUUAAUUAAUUGAAAUUAAAUUUUAAGUGAAAAUGCUUAGAUUAAACAUUAAGACGAUAAGACCCUAUAGAUCUUUAUUAUUUCUUAGUACCUUAAAAUUGGGGGAUUUUAAGGUACUAAGAAAUAAUUUUAUUGGGGCAAUAACAGAAUAAAAAUAAAUUCUUUCUUUAACUUUAUUCUCAUAUUAUUAUUAACCUUACUAUUGAAUAUAAAAAGUUACCUUAGGGAUAACAGCGUAAUAUAUCUGGAGAGUUCAAAUCGAUAGAUUAUCUUGCGACCUCGAUGUUGAAUUAAAAUUUCUAUGAGGAGCAGUAUUUUUGAGUAGAUAGUCUGUUCGACUAUAAAAUUUUUACA
rnacentral:rRNA from 1 species